rnacentral:rRNA from 1 species
GUCCUAGCCCUAAACGAUGGAUGCUUGGUGUAGCGGGUACCCAAUCUCGCUGUGCCGGAGCUAACGCGUUAAGCAUCCCGCCUGGGGAGUACGGUCGCAAGGCCGAAACUCAAAGGAAUUGACGGGGGCCCGCACAAGCGGUGGAGCAUGUGGUUCAAUUCGACGCAACGCGAAGAACCUUACCUGGGCUCGAAGCGCAGUGGAUAGGAGUGGAAACACUCUUUCCCGCAAGGGCUGCUGCGUAGGUGCUGCAUGGCUGUCGU